GAACGGCGUCUCCACAGGAUGGUGGGGGGCACACCACCACAACCAAUGCGUCUGCCACCAUUACGACAAACGAGAUGAAGACAACUCAGAUGACGCUGAGCCCAUGCCAGCUUCAAUGAAGAUCAAGAAGAGCCGCGUUUCCCGGGGAUGGUGGGGACACGACCAUCACUGCCACUGCGGCCACUAAGGAAAUGAACACACAUCAGAUGGCAAGCGUAACUAUACCGACAAUAUCCAUGAGUAAUGUUGCCGCGAGGGAUGCUACUGGGAGGAAAUCGUGGAAUAUUGCUAGACAUUUGUGUCCGGUUACGUUAAUAUAGAUUAGUAGCGAAGUCGUUCCUUUUAUCUUGAUGUAUUUUUUCGUCUUUCACUAAUUUUACUUUUUUUUCUUUUGAAGUUUAAUGGUGGUAUGUUCUUA